GCCCAGACUCCUACGGGAGGCAGCAGUGGGGAAUAUUGCACAAUGGGCGCAAGCCUGAUGCAGCCAUGCCGCGUGUAUGAAGAAGGCCUUAGGGUUGUAAAGUACUUUCAGUCGGGAGGAAGGCGUUGAUGCGAAUACCAUCAGCGAUUGACGUUACCGACAGAAGAAGCACCGGCUAACUCCGUGCCAGCAGCCGCGGUAAU
rnacentral:rRNA from 1 species